GAGGGGCGGAGGAAGCGGGAGGCGGCGGUGGUGGUGGUGCUGGAGUGCGUGGCGGGGAGCUCCAAGGCGGAGGAGUGGGGCGGCGGCGGCGCCGUGGUGCAGGAGGGCGACGUGGUGGAGUCGGUCCGGGUCGGGCUGGGCUCCGGCGCGGCCUCCCUGGACGCGCCCUUCAAGGGCGGCCGGGCCGGGCUCCACAAGGCGCUGCACAAGGCGUUCAAGCGCGGCGACACCUCCGUGGAGGUGCGCGUCCGCGGCGGCAAGGACCUGCAGGCCUGCAUCCUGCCGCACCCCGGCGGCGCCAGCGCCCGCAAGCAGUACGUGCUCCGCUCCCUCCACGACCCCAACUACGUGCUCGGCUUCGGCGAUCGCCUCGAGAGCGACUGCCUCGUCCUCCAAGGCACAAGAGGCACAAGAGUUGCAUCGGCGCUGAGCCGGGCGCAGCUUCAGGACGGGUACGUCACGUAUCCAUGGGACAAGAAGAUGCGCGACUCGCUGCGCACGCCCAACUCGAGCUGCUUCCUCUCGAUGCUUGUCCUCCCCAAGGCGCUGGACCUCAACGCGUGCCGGUACGAGUCCUUCGAGGACACGUUGGCUCGUGCCAACACAUGGCUCUACUCGUCGCAGGACUCGGGGAUCCCCAUCGAGUUCAUGAAUCUGCAGAGCGAAGCUCUUCUCACCAAGAUAUCUGGGGAGACGGCGUCUGCGACUGUCAACUCCGGGUCGUUGUCCGACAUGUCGAACCUCGUGAACGCGACGCUCUACGGUUUCGAGGAUUACCACGGGGUGGACAUCGGCGUCGUGAAGGCGGCCCGGCUUUGGUACAGCUCCACGGCGGGAGAAAUGCCGCUAGAGAUCCAGCUUCAAGAAGGUGACACCAGGCUAGGAUUCGCCGUGAGCCGUACUGAAGAGGGUUUCAUCUACAUAUCUUCGGUGGUCGACGACGACGAGGACAGCGAGGCGCCGUCGACGCGGUCCGGGCUCCGCGAUCUGUUCAACCGGGCGAAAGUGGCAUCCAAGCUGUUGAUCAUAUCAAGGGUGUCCAACGAGAAGGUCCUCCCCUGGAUGAUCUCCAGCUCAGGCGCGGUCCGUUGCUUCGACACCAUCUCCCUCAGCCAGAAGCUCUCCCUGCACCGCCUCGCGCUGCAGCCCAUCCAGCUACACCUGCUCAUGUGGGAGAAGCCCGUCGGUGUCGCGGCGCAGAGCGUCGUUCUUUCUCCGAAAAUGCCCUUCCCGCUGUCGUUGCCUCCUCAGGUACCCCUAAGCAUCAUCGAGAGCCCUGAACAUAGAGUAGAUGCUGAGGAAGGAUUUGUGUUGGAUUCGUCGUUUCGGCUCGAUGAUUCUCCGGUCAGCAACUGGGUGUGA
rnacentral:rRNA from 1 species